CAAGGACAGAAUUCUAAGGUUUUUCUUCUUUAAUAUUGUCAAGUACUAUCUAAUCUACUUUAUCAAACAUCCCAUAAUUGUGCUAGACUAACUUUUUGACAAAUUUUGCACUUGCAAGUUCAGCUACUUCUUCCCAAGCGAUGCACAGAUAACAAGGUCAAAGAUGAUCUAGGUGCAUUCUCAAUUUAAAUAUUUAUUUAUCAUUUUAUUUUUCAGUUGUUGCUAUGCAAUAAGAGAGUAACUGAAUCCUUUUGUAAUGAUUAAAACAUUCUUUAACAGACUUCUAAUAGAAAAAAUGUUAUAUGAAUA